rnacentral:rRNA from 1 species
UACAGAGGGUGCGAGCGUUAAUCGGAAUUACUGGGCGUAAAGCGUGCGUAGACGGUAGCGUAAGUCAGAUGUGAAAGCCCCGGGCUCAACCUGGGAAUUGCAUUGAGACUGCUCUGCUCGGGUGCGGAAGAGGGAAGCGGAAUUUCCGGUGUAGCGGUGAAAUGCGUAGAUAUCGGAAGGAACACCAGUGGCGAAAGCGGCUUCCUGGUCCGACACCGACGUUCAGGCACGAAAGCGUGGGGAGCAAACAGG